UUUUUCGUCAAAACCAAGAAAUGAUUAACUCGUCUUUUUCAUUUAAUCCUCGUGAUUAUCUGCUGUCACUGGACACGUAAUUGCUGCUCCUAUUUCCUGAUUCCCACGCAUCGUUGGUCUCUCUCUUCGCGCCACCUUAUUGCAGCCGACGCGAAACAGGCGGCCAUGAAGGGACGUUCAAUACUGGAAUUCCUUCUUUUUUUUUUGGUCAUGCAACGAUCAAAAGUGGAUGGAGGUAUACUUAUAGUUGGCAAGUAUGCAUACCCAUUUUCGUUGUUUGCGGGUGUGACCGCUCACUGGCUGGUUGCAAGUAGUUUUUAUCUUUGUAUUUUUUUUCUCUUUAAUAAAACUUUGCGGCAACUCUCUUGCCACCCUUUAAAAAAAACAAUAUGUAUAUCCAUCCCACGACGACACGACAAGCAAUGUAUAGCCACGCAAAUUAGAGUUGCAUACAUUUUUUCAUUCGUACGUACUGUACGACAUACACACACAUAGAUACAUGACGACGGAUCACGUACGAAGCCACGUAUACGGAACCCGUGGCCCCCUUAUUCAACACACGCAUACAUGUAUGUACGUACGCAGGAAAGCCAAAAUACACACACCGGGCGCGCGGGCCCGCCUCUCAGUCUCACACUCUCACACACGCGCAGCAUAUAUAUACGCGGAGAAAUUAAGAAGCGCAUACUAUGUAGACAAGAGAUACACGUCGGUGCUGGUGCAGAUGAGCUAGAUCAGCCGAAGAGGUGGUGGUGCUUCUUCUCGCCGCCGGCCUCCUCGGCGUCCUUGUGGUCCUUCUUCUUCUCGUGGUGCUCGUGGAAGGCGAAGCCGCCGGAGCCCACGGCCGCCGCCGCCGCGACCUCCUCCUCGAUCUUGUGCCGGUGCGCGUGCUCGGGGUCCUUCUUCGCCUCGUGCUUCUCGUACUGCAUGCACACAAGGAAUUAUUUAACUCAGAGCCAAAGUUCAUUCGCGUCGCGGCCGAUAGAUCACACAGUGAAAUUAAAGAUUGAUCAGCACAACGAAGGAAGCACGAAAGAUCGAGGAGGAGGAGGACGUACAAGAGCGAAGGCGCCGGCGGCGACGGCGCCUGCCUCGCCGAGGUGCUGCUUGUGCUUGUGCUCCUUCUCCUCCUUCUUGUACGUGUCGUACUCGUCCUCGCCGGUGGACACCACCUCCGUCACGGUCGCCUCCGUGUACUCGCCGUACCCGCCGGCGGGCUGCUCCGCCGCCUCAUCGUCCUUCUUGUGGUUGAAGAGGUGGUGGUGGUGGUGCUUCUCCUCCGCCAUGGAUGAAACGGGACGGCCUUGUUGAAGCGCGAGAGUGACAAUAGGAUGGUGGUGCUUGCUUGGUAGCUGAUGUGUUUGGCUUACUUGUGUUGCUGCUU
rnacentral:lncRNA from 1 species